AAAAAAAGAGAAUCUGAGGAUGUCCUUGAUGAAGAUGAUUAUGAGCUCCUUCGAGACAACAAUGCUUUCCACCACCGACCAAAGGAUAGCAAAAAAUUUAAACGGUUGAAAAAAGCUCAGAGGGAUUCUGAUGAGGAGCGCUUUGGUUUUUCUGAUGAGGAGUUUGACGGAAGUGGUAAAGGUGGGCGAACAGCUGAAGAGAAACUUAAGCGCACCUUAUUUGGUGAUGAUGAAGGAGUUCCCCUUGAGGAUAUUGCCGAAGAGGAGCAGGAGGCAGAGGAGGAAGAAGAUGGAGACAUUGGCGAGGAGGAUGAAAUGGCUGACUUUAUUGUGGACGAAGAAGUUGAUGAGAAUGGAGCUCCAAUGAGACGGAAGAAGCUGAAGAGAAAGAAAUCUAGGCAGGCACCAGGAGUUACAUCAUCUGCUAUACAGGAAGCUCAGGAACUAUUUGGUGAUGUUGAUGACUUCCUGCUGCGACGCAAGCGAGAUUUAGAAUCUAGCGAAUGGAAGGAAACCAGAUUGGAUAAGGAAUUUGAAUCUCCUCAUCUUUCUCAGUCAUAUACUUCUCAGAAAGUACAGUAGGUUCAAAGGAUGACCGAUAUUCCAGAAAGAAUGCAGAUAUCUGAGGAAGGCACUGGUUCUCCUCCAACUGAUGAAAUCAGUAUAACAGAAGAGGGAAGCUGGAUAUAUAAUCAACUUGCAAAUGGUACGGUGCCCUUGUUUCGUAAGAGAAGAGAUGAGGCACAUGAAGAAGAGCAGGAUUUGCCUUUAAACAGGGAUGACAUCAUUCGAUUUUUGGAAUUGCACCAUGUUCAGAAGCUAGAUGUCCCCUUCAUUGCUAUGUAUAGAAAGGAGGAAUGUUCAAGCCUAUUGAAAGAUCCUGAGAACCUUGAAGUUGAUGAUGAGAAUCAUGAUAAAUCUGACAGGGCACCUAUGCUGAAGUGGCACAAGGUGCUUUGGGCAAUUCAGGACUUGGAUAGGAAGUGGUUACUUCUUCAAAAACGAAAGACUGCUCUCGAAUUGUAUUAUAAUAAGCGAUUCGAAGAAGAAUCUCGACGAAUAUAUGAUGAGACAAGACUCAAUUUAAAUCAGCAGCUUUUUGUUUCCAUUCUUAAGUCGCUCAAGGAUGCGGAAUCGGAAAGAGAGGUUGAUGAUGUUGAUGCAAAGUUUAACUUGCAUUUUCCUCCAGGUGAGGCAGGUGUUGAUGAAGGACAGUAUAAGAGGCCCAAAAGGAGAUCCCAAUAUAGUACCUGCAGCAGGGCUGGACUAUGGGAAGUUGCAAGCAAGUUUGGGUGCAGUGCUGAGCAACUUGGAAUGGGCUUGUCCUUAGAAAAGAUGGGGGAAAUAUUGGAGAAUGCUAAGGAAACACCAGAGGAGAUGGCGUCAAACUUUACAUGUGCAAUGUUUGAAACUCCCCAAGCGGUUCUUAAAGGGGCCAGGCACAUGGCUGCGGUUGAAAUAAGCUGUGAGCCAAGUAUCAGAAAAUAUGUCCGUAGUAUGUACAUGGAAAAUGCUGUGGUAUCCACAAGCCCAACGCCAGAUGGAAAUGUUGCAAUAGAUUCUUUUCAUCAAUUUGCGGG
rnacentral:misc_RNA from 1 species